GCUAUUUUGGCAGAUAAGUGCGCUGGAUUUAGAAUCUAUUAAUGUGAAGUUUAUUUUACAAGUAGUA
rnacentral:tRNA from 2 species